rnacentral:rRNA from 1 species
AGUGAACGCCGGCGGUAGGCCUAACACAUGCAAGUCGAACGGCAGCACAGGAGAGCUUGCUCUCUGGGUGGCGAGUGGCGGACGGGUGAGGAAUACAUCGGAAUCUACUCUGUCGUGGGGGAUAACGUAGGGAAACUUACGCUAAUACCGCAUACGACCUACGGGUGAAAGCAGGGGACCUUCGGGCCUUGCGCGAUUGAAUGAGCCGAUGUCGGAUUAGCUAGUUGGCGGGGUAAAGGCCCACCAAGGCGACGAUCCGUAGCUGGUCUGAGAGGAUGAUCAGCCACACUGGAACUGAGACACGGUCCAGACUCCUACGGGAGGCAGCAGUGGGGAAUAUUGGACAAUGGGCGCAAGCCUGAUCCGGCCAUACCGCGUGGGUGAAGAAGGCCUUCGGGUUGUAAAGCCCUUUUGUUGGGAAAGAAAUCCAGCUGGCUAAUACCCGGUUGGGAUGACGGUACCCAAAGAAUAAGCACCGGCUAACUUCGUGCCAGCCGCCGCCGUAA